GUCAGCGUUCCAUUUUCCAAUAUUACGGACAAUCGCAGAACAGGUUUGUACAUGCAAGACAGCCAUCGUUGCAAGAUUCAGCAAGGUCUUUGUCCCUGUCAACAAUAAGUACUGCAUGCCCGUUUGUUAUCUUCCAACUGCAUUGGAAGGUCAUAAUCGUCAUUAUUUUCAGAACAAAGUGCAACAAUGAAUUUAGGAGUGGUCCACAUUGGAGGCUGGUCAACAGUAUUGCUGCCGGAACGAAGCAGAAUUUAUAAUUGCCAAUUUUAGAACCGACAGGAGCGGUUUCUUUUUCUAUACACUUGAAAGUGUAUCAUUCUUUCGACGAGCAACAGAUUCAACAUUUCUUUCUCCUCAAUGUUCAUUGCUCGUGCCAUCAGCAACAUCAGGUUUGCUAUCCGUUGCUUCUUUAUCAGCUGCUCUUUUGCCAUGCAUAAAGGACGUUUGAAAGACUUUUAUAAUGCUGUCUUUUACUUUAGCAUCAGCACAUUUAGUUAAUUCAUUCUCGUCAGCGGACAAUUCAUUCUCAUCAAGGACGUUGACUUGAAGCAGACUUUAAUUUGGCACUUAGAACCAACAGGAGCGGUUCUUUUUCUACAUUUGAAAGUGUUUCAUUCUUUCGACGAGCAACAGAUUCAAUUAUAGUUCUUUCUCCUCAAUUUUCAUUGCUUCUGUUGUUCAAGCUCUGCUUGUUUUU